rnacentral:rRNA from 1 species
AUUGAACGCUGGCGGCAGGCCUAACACAUGCAAGUCGAGCGGAGCGGCGGACGGGUGAGUAAUGCCUAGGAAUCUGCCUGGUAGUGGGGGAUAACGUCCGGAAACGGGCGCUAAUACCGCAUACUAUCAGAUGAGCCUAGGUCGGAUUCGCUAGUUGGUGGGGUAAAGGCCUACCAAGGCGACGAUCCGUAACUGGUCUGAGAGGAUGCUCAGUCAAACGGGAACUGAGACACGGUCCAGACGCCUACGGGAGGCAGAAGGGGGGAAUAGUGGACAAUGGGGGAAAGCCUGAUCCAGCCAUGCCGCGUGUGGGAAGAAGGUCUUCGGAUUGGAAAGCACUUUAAGUUGGGAGGCGUUACCCGCAGAAGAAGCACCGGCUAACUCCGUGCCAGCAGCCGCGGUAAUAC